GGCCAGGUAGCUCAGUUGGUAGAGCAGGGGACUGAAAAUCCCCGUGUCGGCGGUUCGAUUCCGUCCCUGGCCA
rfam:Methylococcus capsulatus str. Bath, complete genome.